rnacentral:rRNA from 1 species
CAGAGGUGGCAAGCGUUGUUCGGAAUUACUGGGCGUAAAGGGCGCGUAGGUGGCCUUCUUAGUCAGACGUGAAAUCCCCGGGCUUAACUCGGGAACUGCGUCUGAUACUGGAAGGCUCGAGUUCGGGAGAGGAAUGUGGAAUUCCAGGUGUAGCGGUGAAAUGCGUAGAUAUCUGGAGGAACACCGGUGGCGAAGGCGGCAUUCUGGACCGAAACUGACACUGAUGCGCGAAAGCCAGGGGAGCAAACGGGAUUAGAUACCCCGGUAGUCCUGGCCCUAAACGAUGAGUGCUUGGUGUGGCGGAUAUCGAUCCCUGCCGUGCCGAAGCUAACGCAUUAAGCACUCCGCCUGGGGAGUACGGUCGCAAGGCUG